rnacentral:misc_RNA from 1 species
GAUGAAGAACGCAGCGAAAUGCGAUAAGUAGUGUGAAUUGCAGAAUUCAGUGAAUCAUCGAAUCUUUGAACGCACAUUGCGCCCCUUGGUAUUCCAUGGGGCAUGCCUGUUCGAGCGUCAUUUGUAACUUCAAGCUCUGCUUGGUGUUGGGUGUUUGUCUCGCCUCUGCGUGUAGACUCGCCUCAAAACAAUUGGCAGCCGGCGUAUUGAUUUCGGAGCGCAGUACAUCUCGCGCUUUGCACUCAUAACGACGACGUCCAAAAGUACAUUUUUACACUCUUGACCUCGGAUCAGGUAGGGAUACCCGCUGAACUUAAGCAUAUCAAUAAGCGGAGGA